rnacentral:rRNA from 1 species
AUGUAGGCAUGUAUCUUAGGCAAAUCCGGGGUACUCUAUGCUGAGAUCUGAUAGCAAGCUGUACUUGUACAGCGAAGUGGUUGAUGCCAUGCUUCCAGGAAAAGUCUCUAAGCUUCAGUUACACAGGAAUCGUACCCGAAACCGACACAGGUGGUCAGGUCGAGUAGACCAAGGCGCUUGAGAGAACUCUGCUGAAGGAACUAGGCAAAAUGGUACCGUAACUUCGGGAGAAGGUACGCUGUUGUUGGUGAUGGAACUCGCUUCCUGAGCUGACGACAGCCGCAGAAACCAGGCCGCUGCAACUGUUUAUUAAAAACAUAGCACUCUGCAAACACGAAAGUGGACGUAUAGGGUGUGAUGCCUGCCCGGUGCUGGAAGGUUAAUUGAUGGGGUUAGCGUAAGCGAAGCUCUUGAUCGAAGCCCCAGUAAACGGCGGCCGUAACUAUAACGGUCCUAAGGUAGCGAAAUUCCUUGUCGGGUAAGUUCCGACCUGCACGAAUGGCAUAAUGAUGGCGGCGCUGUCUCCAGCAGAGGCUCAGUGAAAUCGAAAUCGCUGUGAAGAUGCAGUGUACCCGCGGCUAGACGGAAAGACCCCGUGAACCUUUACUGCAGCUUGACACUGAACUUUGACCUUACUUGUGUAGGAUAGGUGGGAGGCUUUGAAGCUGGAACGCUAGUUCCAGUGGAGCCGUCCUUGAAAUACCACCCUGGUAAUGUUGAGGUUCUAACUCUGUCCCGUGAUCCGGGACGAGGACCGUGUCUGGUGGGUAGUUUGACUGGGGCGGUCUCCUCCUAAAGAGUAACGGAGGAGUACGAAGGUGCGCUCAGCGUGGUCGGAAAUCACGCGUAGAGUAUAAAGGCAAAAGCGCGCUUAACUGCGAGACCCACAAGUCGAGCAGGUACGAAAGUAGGUCUUAGUGAUCCGGUGGUUCUGUAUGGAAGGGCCAUCGCUCAACGGAUAAAAGGUACUCUGGGGAUAACAGGCUGAUACCGCCCAAGAGUUCAUAUCGACGGCGGUGUUUGGCACCUCGAUGUCGGCUCAUCUCAUCCUGGGGCUGAAGCAGGUCCCAAGGGUAUGGCUGUUCGCCAUUUAAAGAGGUACGCGAGCUGGGUUUAGAACGUCGUGAGACAGUUCGGUCCCUAUCUACCGUGGGCGCUGGAAAUUUGAGAGGAUCUGCUCCUAGUACGAGAGGACCAGAGUGGACGAACCUCUGGUGUACCGGUUGUGACGCCAGUCGCAUCGCCGGGUAGCUAUGUUCGGAAGGGAUAACCGCUGAAAGCAUCUAAGCGGGAAGCCUACCUCAAGAUAAGAUUUCCCUAGGACUUUAUGUCCUCUAAAGAGCCGUUCGAGACUAGGACGUUGAUAGGUUGGAUGUGGAAGCAUAGUGAUAUGUGAAGCUGACCAAUACUAAUUGCUCGUGAGGCUUGACUAU